rnacentral:rRNA from 1 species
AGGACGAACGCUGGCGGCGUGCUUAACACAUGCAAGUCGAGCGGAAAGGCCCUUCGGGGUACUCGAGCGGCGAACGGGUGAGUAACACGUGAGCAAUCUGCCCUUAGCUUCGGGAUAGCCCCGGGAAACCGGGAUUAAUACCGAAUAUGACCUCGGCCGACAUCGGCUUUGGUGGAAAGUUUUUCGGCUAGGGAUGAACUCGCGGCCUAUCAGCUUGUUGGUGGGGUAAUGGCCUACCAAGGCGACGACGGGUAGCCGGCCUGAGAGGGCGACCGGCCACACUGGGACUGAGACACGGCCCAGACUCCUACGGGAGGCAGCAGUGGGGAAUAUUGCGCAAUGGGCGAAAGCCUGACGCAGCGACGCCGCGUGGGGGAUGAAGGCCUUCGGGUUGUAAACCCCUUUCAGCAGGGACGAAGCGAAAGUGACGGUACCUGCAGAAGAAGCGCCGGCUAACUACGCGCCAGCAGCCGC